UCCCUUGAUCCUGUGUGAGAUUUGUGUCAUUCUGAAGAAAGAAUUUGAGGUGUUUCUUUUGUGUGGUUGGAGGUUAAGUUGCCAUGGUAAUGGCUUAUUGUGAAAUACCCAGAGAAGUGCAUUAGGAACAUUGCAUGUGGCAACUCCACCUCGGUUCCUGUUAUAAUAGUCUAGGCAGACCUUGACUUUCUUGGUCCCAAGCAAUCUUUCCAUACUUUUAUAAUAACAGGAAUUUGCAUUUCUACCCCAAGGCUGCCUUUUUCAAUACCUCCUGCUGCUUUUAGAACAACCAGAAAGAGAAUCAUUAUGGAAAUGGCUUCAUAUCAGCUCAGACUCCAUGCUCCGAAGAGCAGAUGAGAAAUAAUUGACAAGAACAGUGGCCCAUGAACUUCUCUAACGUAGAACACUUUCUGAAGUUUAUUCUACCAAAGUAAACGAUGCAGAUAUGUCACCAAAGAAUCUACUAUUUUAUUAUACACGUUGCCAACAUUGAAAUGAGACCCACGUCCUUAGAGUGUGACUUAGUCUCAUAAACAUUAAUGCGGUGGCCCUCGGAAGUCCCCCGAAGGGUAGGUCACAGGCCGUGUCUGAGGUAAAGGAGAUGUUCGUGCUGUCUAGACGGCUUCCUCGCUCAUGUUCAGUGCUCCACUCGCCUUCUUGAGAAACCAUGAGCUCCGCAUGUGAUGACUACCUUAGAAGUCCCUGUUCAUUGAAAUACUGCAGCAAAUUUAUGGUGGAGUUUUCUUUAGUACAAAAAUAAA